AACGCGAAGAACCUUACCAAGGCUUGACAUCCAACUAAUCCCGUAGAGAUAUGGGAGUGCCCUUCGGGGAAAGUUGAGACAGGUGGUGCAUGGUUGUCGUCAGCUCGUGUCGUGAGAUGUUGGGUUAAGUCCCGCAACGAGCGCAACCCCUAUAUUUAGUUGCUAACAGGUAAAGCUGAGAACUCUAGAUAGACUGCCGGUGACAAACCGGAGGAAGGUGGGGAUGACGUCAAAUCAUCAUGCCCCUUAUGUCUUGGGCUACACACGUGCUACAAUGGACGGUACAGACGGAAGCGAAGCCGCGAGGUGAAGCAAAUCCGAGAAAGCCGUUCUCAGUUCGGAUUGCAGGCUGCAACUCGCCUGCAUGAAGUCGGAAUCGCUAGUAAUCGCAGGUCAGCACACUGCGGUGAAUACGUUCCCGGGCCUUGUACACACCG
rnacentral:rRNA from 3 species